UACAGAGGUCUCGAGCGUUGUUCGGAUUCAUUGGGCGUAAAGGGUGCGUAGGUGGUCGCGUAAGUCGGAUGCGAAAUCCCGGGGCUCAACCCCGGAACUGCAUUCGAUACUGCGUGGCUGGAGUCCUGGAGAGGAGAUCGGAAUUUACGGUGUAGCAGUGAAAUGCGUAGAUAUCGUAAGGAAGACCAGUGGCGAAGGCGGAUCUCUGGACAGGUACUGACACUGAGGCACGAAGGCUAGGGGAGCAAACGGG
rnacentral:rRNA from 1 species